GUCCACGCUGUAAACGAUGGGCACUAGGUGUGGGGGGUGUCGACUCCCUCCGUGCCGAAGCUAACGCAUUAAGUGCCCCGCCUGGGGGAGUACGGCCGCAAGGCUAAAAACUCAAAGGAAUUGACGGGGACCCGCACAAGCAGCGGAGCAUGUGGUUUAAUUCGACGCAACGCGAAGAACCUUACCUGGGCUUGACAUGUUCCUGACCACCCUGGAAACAGGGUUUCCCUUCGGGGCAGGAUCACAGGUGGUGCAUGGCUGUCGU
rnacentral:rRNA from 1 species